GAGUUUGAUCAUGGCUCAGGACGAACGCUGGCGGCGUGCCUAACACAUGCAAGUCGAACGGAGUUAAUAUGGAAGUACCUUCGGGUGCGGAAGUGUUAACUUAGUGGCGAACGGGUGAGUAACGCGUGAGAAACCUGCCUCUCAGUGGGGGACAACAGUUGGAAACGACUGCUAAUACCGCAUAACACUUUAGUACCGCAUGGUACAGAAGUCAAAGCUUUAUGUGCUGAGAGAUGGUCUCGCGUCUGAUUAGCUAGAUGGCGGGGUAACGGCCCACCAUGGCGACGAUCAGUAGCCGGUCUGAGAGGAUGAACGGCCACAUUGGGACUGAGAUACGGCCCAGACUCCUACGGGAGGCAGCAGUGGGGAAUAUUGGGCAAUGGGGGAAACCCUGACCCAGCAACGCCGCGUGAAGGAAGAAGGCCUUCGGGUUGUAAACUUCUUUUACCAGGGACGAAGAACGUGACGGUACCUGGAGAAAAAGCAACGGCUAACUACGUGCCAGCAGCCGCGGUAAUACGUAGGUUACAAGCGUUGUCCGGAUUUACUGGGUGUAAAGGGCGUGUAGGCGGAGCUGCAAGUCAGAUGUGAAAUCCCGGGGCUCAACCCCGGAACUGCAUUUGAAACUGUAGCCCUUGAGUAUCGGAGAGGCAAGCGGAAUUCCUAGUGUAGCGGUGAAAUGCGUAGAUAUUAGGAGGAACACCAGUGGCGAAGGCGGCUUGCUGGACGACAACUGACGCUGAGGCGCGAAAGCGUGGGGAGCAAACAGGAUUAGAUACCCUGGUAGUCCACGCUGUAAACGAUGAAUACUAGGUGUGGGAGGACUGACCCCUUCCGUGCCGCAGUUAACACAAUAAGUAUUCCACCUGGGGAGUACGACCGCAAGGUUGAAACUCAAAGGA
rnacentral:rRNA from 1 species